CCUUCCGAUAGCUCAGUUGGUAGAGCGGAGGACUGUAGAUCCUUAGGUCGCUGGUUCAAAUCGCGGCUCGAAGGA